GACGAACGCUGGCGGCGUGCUUAACACAUGCAAGUCGAGCGGUAAGGCCCUUUCGGGGGUACACGAGCGGCGAACGGGUGAGUAACACGUGGGUGACCUGCCCUCAGCUCUGGGAUAAGCCCGGGAAACUGGGUCUAAUACUGGAUAUUACUCUGCGGUGCAUGCCGUGGGGUGGAAAGCCUUGUGCGGCUGGGGAUGGGCCCGCGGCCUAUCAGCUUGUUGGUGGGGUGAUGGCCACCAAGGCGACGACGGGUAGCCGGCCUGAGAGGGCGACCGGCCACACUGGGACUGAGACACGGCCCAGACUCCUACGGGAGGCAGCAGUGGGGAAUCUUGCGCAAUGGGCGAAAGCCUGACGCAGCGACGCCGCGUGA
rnacentral:rRNA from 1 species